GACGAACGCUGGCGGCGUGCUUAACACAUGCAAGUCGAGCGGUAAGGCCCUUUCGGGGGUACACGAGCGGCGAACGGGUGAGUAACACGUGGUGACCUGCCCUCAGCUCUGGGAUAAGCCUGGGAAACUGGGUCUAAUACUGGAUAUGACUCCACGGUGCAUGUCGUGGGGUGGAAAGCCUUGUGCGGCUGAGGAUGGGCCCNCGGCCUAUCAGCUUGUUGGUGGGUGANGGCCUACCAAGGCGACGACGGGUAGCCGGCCUGAGAGGCGACCGGCCACACUGGGACUGAGACACGGCCCAGACUCCUACGGGAGCAGCAGUGGGGAAUCUUGCGCAAUGGGCG
rnacentral:rRNA from 1 species